rnacentral:rRNA from 1 species
AUGGCGUCCUGGUCCCGGACGAGUACUGCGCAAGCUUACGAUCCACUGCUGGGUACCAACACAUCGCCGUCUUCCACCUCCACCUCCACGUCCACCUCCACUUCCACCGUCCUCGCCGACGAGGUGAGCACGAUGUGUAGCCAGAUACUCGCGGAGAUGAAGGGCAUGAUCGCCGUCGGAGCGGCGGCGGCCUUGUGCUUCGGGGCGUGGAGGUACUAUACGUACCACACCUGCCUGGGCACCUACGGCCGGGACAUGACGGCCGCCGCUGGCAAGGGAGACCCCGUGGUGGGCCGCGACGACGAGAUCGACCGCGUGGUCCGCAUCCUCUACCGCCGGAGCAAGAACUGCGUGGCCCUCGUCGGCGCCGCGGGGGUCGGCAAGACGGCCAUCGCCGAGGGCCUCGCGCAGCGCAUCGCCGCAGGGAAGGUGCCCAAGCAGCUCAAGGGCACGCGCCUCGUGGAGCUCGACCUCGGGGCCAUGGUGGCCGGGACGCGGUGGCGCGGCAUGUUCGAGGAGCGCAUGAAGGCCGUCAUCAGGCGAGCCGAGGCCUCCCAUGGCAAGAUCAUACUGUUCAUCGACGAGAUGCACACACUCGUCGGCGCCGGCGACUACCAGCGCCGAAACGACGCUGCCAACAUGCUCAAGCCGGCGUUGGCCCGUGGCCGCAUCCGCUGCAUCGGCGCCACGACGUUCGACGAGUACCGCAAGCACAUCGAGAAGGACACGGCCCUCGAGCGGCGGUUCCAGAAGGUGCACGUUGAGCAGCCGACCACGCAGGCUACAACCACCAUCCUGCAGGGGAUCAGGCAGCGGUAUCAGAAACACUAUGGCCUGGAAAUCCAGGAUGCUGCUGUUGACGCCGCCGUGCACCUCGCUGACCGCUAUAUCACCGGUCGUCAAUUUCCUGAUAAGGCAAUUGAUCUAAUAGACGAGGCUUGCACCUCCGUCGAGCGAAAAGCAAAAACAAUUGUUGGCCCGGAUCUUAUCGCAAGGGUAAGGGGUGUGCGCUUGUCAAGCGCCAUUUUCAACUCAUUUAGUUAUUGA